CGGAUCGUAGCUUAAUUGGCUAAAGCACUUGUUUUUGAUACAAAUAAUUGUUGGUUCAAGUCCAACCGCUCCUU
rnacentral:tRNA from 1 species